rnacentral:ncRNA from 2 species
AUUGCGCACCACGGGAGCUGACAGGAAAUCCUGUCGGCUGAGAUGCCUCGCGGCGAACCGUAGAACCUGAUCCGGGUAAUACCGGCGAGAGGAAGGGAUAACUUUCAUGAA